GGUAUGGAGCCUGGCACCGUGCUGCCGGGUACACGCGGGGCCUCAUCUCAUCCUGCACUCAUGGCAGAGCAGGCCUUUCCUCCUUGAACAUGUAGACAAGUCUCAGAGAGGUCAGUGCGCCGGCCCGAUGUCUCCCAGUGAGUGGAGAGGCCACGCCACAGUCCGGGCCAGGUCUGACCCAGCACUGGCACCCCUGAGCCUAUGGCAUCAUCCGAGGACUGUAAUCCUCAACCCGUUCCUCAGAGCAACUUGGUGAAAGGGAGUGUCUGUCUGCUGUCAGAAGCAGUGGUGGAGAUGGCGGCUCCUGUGCUGAGGUAGAGUCCCAGGGGAUGCGCACGGGCUGCCGCUCACUUCCCGCAGGGCUCACCUUCCCCGGCCUUGCCUGAAGACACAUCCCAUACCUCAGUCACUCCCACUGGAGGCAGACUCACUGUGACCAGCAGGAACUCUAGGCUGUGUUCCGGUUGUAUCCCUGACCCUGGAUUGGCACCUCCCGUGGCGUGGGAGCUAAAGAGAGGCUGG
rnacentral:lncRNA from 1 species